CUACAUGAAGCUGGAAUCGCUAGUAAUCGCAGGUCAGCAUACUGCGGUGAAUACGUUCCCGGGUCUUGUACACACCGCCCGUCACACCAUGGGAGCCGGAAAUGCCCGAAGCCAGUGACCCAACCUUAGGGAGGGAGCUGUCGAAGGUGGAGCCGGUAACUGGGGUGAAGUCGUAACAAGGUAGC
rnacentral:rRNA from 1 species